rnacentral:rRNA from 1 species
UAACACGUAGGGGGCGAGCGUUGUCCGGAUUUAUUGGGCGUAAAGAGCUCGUAGGCGGCUCAGUAAGUCGGGUGUGAAAACUCCAGGCUCAACCUGGAGACGCCACCCGAUACUGCUGUGGCUAGAGUCCGGUAGGGGAGCAUGGAAUUCCUGGUGUAGCGGUGAAAUGCGCAGAUAUCAGGAGGAACACCAGUGGCGAAGGCGGUGCUCUGGGCCGGAACUGACGCUGAGGAGCG